rnacentral:rRNA from 1 species
AGUGAAUAGAUACCCGGGUAGUCCCAGCUGUAAACGAUGCGCGUUAGGUGUAUCGGUGACCACGAGUCACCGAGGUGCCGAAAGAGAAAUCGUGAAACGUGCCGCCUGGGAAGUACGGUCGCAAGGCUGAAACUUAAAGGAAUUGGCGGGGGAGCACCACAACAGGUGGAGCCUGCGGUUUAAUCGGACUCAACGCCGGGAAGCUCACCGGAUAAGACAGCUGAAUGAUAGCCGGGUUUGAAGACUCUGCUUGACUAGCUGAGAGGAGGUGCAUGGCCGUCGUCAGUUCGUACUGUGAAGCAUCCUGUUAAGUCAGGCAACGAGCGAGACCCACGCCAACAGUUGCCAGCAUGUCCUCCGGGAUGGUGGGGACACUGUUGGGGACCGCCUCUGCUAAAGAGGAGGAAGGAAUGGGCAACGGUAGGUCAGCAUGCCCCGAAUUAUCCGGGCUACACGCGGGCUACAAUGGUCAGGACAAU